UACGUAGGUGGCAAGCGUUUGUCCGGAAUUAUUGGGCGUAAAGCGCGCGCAGGCGGUCCUUUAAGUCUGAUGUGAAAGCCCACGGCUCAACCGUGGAAGGUCAUUGGAAACUGGGGGGACUUGAGUACAGAAGAGGAAAGCGGAAUUCCAAGUGUAGCGGUGAAAUGCGUAGAGAUUUGGAGGAACACCAGUGGCGAAGGCGGCUUUCUGGUCUGGUAAACUGACGCUGAGGCGCGAAAGCGUGGGGAGCAAACAGGG
rnacentral:rRNA from 1 species